rnacentral:rRNA from 1 species
AGUGAACGCUGGCGGUAGGCCUAACACAUGCAAGUCGAACGGCAGCACAGUAAGAGCUUGCUCUUACGGGUGGUGAGUGGCGGACGGGUGAGGAAUACAUCGGAAUCUACUUUUUCGUGGGGGAUAACGUAGGGAAACUUACGCUAAUACCGCAUACGACCUACGGGUGAAAGCAGGGGAUCUUCGGACCUUGCGCGAUUGAAUGAGCCGAUGUCGGAUUAGCUAGUUGGCGGGGUGAAGGCCCACCAAGGCGACGAUCCGUAGCUGGUCUGAGAGGAUGAUCAGCCACACUGGGACUGAGACACGGUCCAGACUCCUACGGGAGGCAGCAGUGGGGAAUAUUGGACAAUGGGCGCAAGCCUGAUCCAGCCAUACCGCGUGGGUGAAGAAGGCCUUCGGGUUGUAAAGCCCUUUUGUUGGGAAAGAAAAGCAGCAGGUUAAUACCCCGCUGUUCUGACGGUACCCAAAGAAUAAGCACCGGCUAACUUCGUG